GGCUCAGACGGUAAAGCGUCUGCCUGCAAUGCAGGAGACCUGGGUUCGAUCCCUG
rnacentral:tRNA from 1 species